AGUAUUCCCUCGGAUGCUGAGGUUCACCUACACUAACAAUCGCAGGAGACCGGAAGCUGGCGAACAGGUAAAAAUACUUAAUAAUGUUCUGCUCCUGUUGGCACUUAUGGCACUAAAAGUGCCAUAAGUGCCAAAGGAAAUCCAAAAAAACAUGAAGUAAAAUGGUCCUUGUGCAGGUUCAUUUUUCACUGAAACCAACAGAAGAGGAAAAGCAACAUAAACACUGGGCAUCUAUUGAAGAAGAAGGAACGCCAUUCAUUUUGCAGUACAGUCCCACUGCGGAUGGCAGCAAGAAGAGAGCAAAGAAAAUGGCCGCGAGGUAUGAGGGGGUCAGAAUGAUUCAAGAACAAAGGAUAGAGAGCGAAGGAGAAGGAAGAAACCAGCAACAGCAAGAGCAUCAACAACA
rnacentral:lncRNA from 1 species